GGGCCGGUGGCUCAGCCAGGUAGAGCAUCCGAGCGCUUCCUAUAGCGCGGUGAAGCUGAUAAACGAGCGCGCCCCUCUGGCGCCUCUUCCAGAGACCGGGGGGUCCCGGGUUCAAAUCCCGGCCGGCCCA
rnacentral:tRNA from 1 species